rnacentral:rRNA from 1 species
AUGCAAACGUUGAGGAACAUACUAGCCGACUAUGAGGUGGCCUCGGGUCAGAAGGUAAAUCUCCAAAAAUCAUCCAUAUUCUUUGGGAAAAACUGCAGAGCGGAGGAUAAAGUCAUGCUCAAGCAAGCCAUAGGUAUCACUUCGGAGGCUUUGAGUGAACGGUACCUUGGUUUACCAACAUUGGUUGGUAGAUCGAAAGAGGGCACAUUCAAGUAUGUACGGGAGAGCUCGACAAGCAAGGUC